rnacentral:lncRNA from 1 species
GGGGUCCUGGGCAGGGCCGGGAGCCGCGUGGCGGGGAAAAGCCGGGCGGACAGCCUGUCCCCGCUCGCGGGGCGCGGGCGCGUCGUCUUUGGAGCAGCCGGUGCGGGGGUCCGCGCGCCCCUCUCCCUCCGGAAUCCGGCGAGGAUUCAGGGGACCCUGUGACCACCACGUCCGCCCCGCGCGGGGGUCAAAGAGCACCCCGCGCCCUUGGUAACAGGGACAAAAAAAACAAACCCACCCUACUCGGGGGCCGCCUAGACAGGUCAAGGUGCAGGAGGCCGCGUCCCCGCGGCUCCUUCCGGAAGGGGGCGGGGACCCGCCAAGGGCGCCGCGGGCGCGCCGCGGCCCCGGCCUCCGCGGGCCUUUCUGCCUCUCCACCCUCUGCUGAUCAAAGUAGGAAGUUUGCCUGACAACCGGGGUGAAAGGGGCCGGACCACAAAUGAACUCGAUUUCGGCGCUGUGCAUAUACCGCGCCUCCAUUGUCCCCCUUUCAGACGCAGUGUGAACCCUUCCGGUAACGGCGACCGCGCGGCGCUCACGGGCGCGCUCCGGGCGCACAAAGGCCCCGCGCCCCGCCCGCCGCNNNNNNNNNNNNNNNNNNNNNNNNNNNNNNNNNNCUGCUUGCAGCCCCGACCGCGCCGGCGGCCCUGCGCUCACCCCCAGUCCCAGCAAGGAGCCAACUAUGCGCGGGGACAGGGCACCGCGGGAACUUUCCACCGCCCCCAGCACGGGCGUGGGGGUGAAAUUUCCCACCUUCUCCCGGCGAACCUGGAGACCGACUCCGAGCUGCUUUCAAGGCCCCUGCGGUCAGCUUGGCAAUUAAGUCGUUUGUUCAGCUGGAGUCUACUGCAACAUCCUUGAUUCGCUAAAAUAUCGUUUUUUUAAAGGAGUGAUUUUUUUUUCAUGUCUACGAUCAGAAGACCCUUUAAAAAGUAGCUGAAAGUGCACUAUAAAAACAAUAAAUACAAAGUAAUCACACUUUUAAUUGUGCCAUGUAAGCCUCGUAAGUUGUAAACACAACCAAAAACAUAGGUUAACCAACAAAAUCUGUUUUAUGGACUUACGGAGACGAAAGAUUAUACGUGUUGGGACUUAAAAGCUAGGAAAGAGAAGUCAGUUCUAAAUUACAAUUAGUCAAGCAGAUCGUGAACAGAAUGAGUAUGGUCUUCAUUCUGCCGGGAGAGUGCUGCUGUGUCUUUCCUGGUCUGGUCCAUAUGAAGAGGCUCCUAGCACUUUCUGGAUGUCAACAAAGCGGCACUUUCACCUCCAAGUGAAGAGCUGGCGCUUUCGUUUAGAAAUCUGUCAUCAGGAAUGCCUUCUCUCUGCCCCUCCCUAGUCCUCUCCCCAGUCCCCAGUCUCAGCGUAAGCAUUGGGGAGACGCUGUCACUGAAAAGAGAGGCUCUGCGCGCUGGAGGGUGCUCUUGGAACCCUGGACGAAUUCACCACACUGGUUCCCGUGGCGCCGAGACCACUUUCGAAAUCCUUUUUUAAAACAUAUCUGACUUUCUGAGCGGCGUAGGAAAACCCUGAGUAUAUAAGAUCUGAACAAAUCAGAACGUUAAAAACGUGAGACCUUCCACAACUUACUUUUGAGAGCCAUUUUAUUUAUUUCCUGGUUGGCGCUUUUUAAAAACAAAACAAAAAACCAUAGCCACGUGAUAACUUUCUACGAAACAGGAUUGUUUUUCUUGUUUUGAAAUUGGGAUUUCGUAUGUCCCAAUAGAGUAGUGUUGCACCAGUUUUAACACAAAUAUGUGGUAUCCAGGGAUCAACACGUGAGUUUUGUGGAUUUCAUACACCUUUGAAGGCUAGCUGGCUUUUUGAUGUAAUUAGCUGGCUCUUUCUAGUAAACGUUCUUUAAUAGAAAGAGUAGGACGUGUUGCUGGCAGAGAGCUCAGAAAAUGCCCUUUUACAGUCUUCACUGAGAGCAAGAAAAAACACACAGCAGGAGACGAGUAGAGUUCCUUCCACAGGAAUACUUUUUUUUAAAUUGACCUAAAAUCCCAAUCAACGCAUCUGAUUUUGUGAGAAAAUUUUAAAGAAAAAGAUGCUUAUGCAUGUCAACUCUUUAUACGUUUAUUAAAAUGCACACAAUUAGGGUUUAACAUGAUUCCACUUUUAAAAUGCACACAAUUAGGGUUUAAAAUGAUUCCACUUAGCUGAACUACUUUCACUAAAUUUAAAGACUGUUUGGGGAAUAAUUGAGGCUUUUUCUCCCCUCAAAGUGUUUUGAUUUUAAGAGUGCAAUAAGUAUUGAGACAAGUGGAAUAAAACUGAGGCUUUCUUUCUAUACUAUGAAGAUUUUGAAUAGUACUUGUCAAUAAAGCAACUCCUAUUGUAGUCUUAGGGGAGCGUUGCCUCCGUCCUGGAAGGAGGGUCUCAGAGAUACUAACCUCAUUAAAAUAUGAAUGAAAAAGGCCGCCAUCAUUGUAUCGGGAGAAAACUGAUUCACCGGCCAUUACUUUUACACAUGGACUCAUUUGGUGUAAGUUAUAAAUACAAAAACAAUCCGUUACGAUUUCGUUGCUGUCUCAGUGCACUCUCAGAGUAAAAUCCUAACUUUUCUCUUUCUGAAACCUAGCUAUGACUCUUUUUUUUUUUUUUUUUUUACCUUUAGGCCCCUUCUGACCAUGUGCUUGUUCUGUGAGCAAUGACAUGGGGGUGGGAGGAGGUACUCAUAUUCCAACUUGAAAACAGAAAAAGGUAGCUGAAAGUUUGGGGUUCAGUUUCUCUAGAAAGCUGGAGUUAGGGAAUUAUUCGAGACCACUAUGACAACACUUUAAUAACAGUCAAUUACAGGGUGCUUUCCGUGUUUGCUCAUUACUAUGUCUCUGUUAAUCUUGUAGCAAAUUUCUUGCUUGAUAGCUAUCACAAUCAGGCAGCGAUACAAUUACCUUAUGGUGUAUAGUCGGACGUGAAAACUGUCCUUGUGGUAUGCUGUCUCCUUCAUAACAGUCUGACAAUCUCAAAUAAAUCUUACUUAUCUGGAUGCUUAUUUUGGAAUGCCCCUGAGAUAGGAAACCAGCACUUAGCCUGCUUAGUUUCACAUUGUUGCAAAGGUUUUCUUUCUAGAGGUGUCGUUAAUAUAAAAAAUUUAAUUGCAUUAUAGAAAAUAUUACAUCUACUUUAAUCACUAACUUUUCAUCCAUAAAAAUACUGAAAUCACUUCUGAUAUUAGUUAAAAGUCAAUAUUUAGAAGUGAAAAUUCAAACCUCCUUUGCUUUAGGCUACAAUAGGGAGAGCAUGAAUUCAGAAACUCUUGUAAGUUGAUGAGAUAUAUAAUUAGCUUUUAUGUUAAUUGACUGCUAUGAGUUUGUUGUGUGACACUUCUUCAUAUAAUAUGCAAAUAGCAUUGACUGUUUAGUUUUAUUGGACAAUAUAAUUAGAAAUCUAAAGAAGCUCAUUUCGAUGAAGAAUAAUAAAGGUUGAUAAAUUUUCCAGUGUUCUGUAUAUCAGAAAAAAAUGAAUCCCAUCUGAACUUAAUCAAUAAGAGAGAUUUUAAGCAGCCUUUGUUCAGAGAGCCAAAGCCAGCCAACAUAUAACAGAAUUAAUAUUAGCUUUUUCAGCUACAUAAAUUUGAUGUUAAAACAGGUGAAUUUGUGCAAUCAAUAAAACCUUGGGGGCAAAAAUACAAAGACUGCAGCACAACUUACCACAAAUGAUGCAAUAAAUUUAUGAAAACAACAUCACAAUUUUGCCUCCUUUAAUCUGAAUACUGAGAGAAAGUCAUUAUUUGAAAUAAAUGUUUUGCAAGUGUUUCCUAUUUUUAUU